rnacentral:rRNA from 1 species
ACAACUAUCAACAACGGAUCUCUUGGCAUCCCACUACGAUGAUGGAACGCAGCGACAUUGCGAUAAGUAAUGUGAAUUGCAGAAUUCAGUGAAUCAUCGAAUCUUUGAACGCACCUUGCACCCUUCUGGUAUACCGAAGGGUAUGCCCGGUUGAGUAUUAU